GGGGAAUUUUGGACAAUGGGGGAAACCCUGAUCCAGCCAUGCCGCGUGUAUGAAGAAGGCCUUAGGGUUGUAAAGUACUUUUGUUAGGGAAGAAAAGCUAAUUUUUAAUAAAAAUUAGUGAUGACGGUACCUAAAGAAUAAGCACCGGCUAACUACGUGCCAGCAGCCGCGGUAAUACGUAGGGUGCAAGCGUUAAUCGGAAUUAUUGGGCGUAAAGCGAGUGCAGACGGUUACUUAAGCCAGAUGUGAAAUCCCCAAGCUUAACUUGGGACGUGCAUUUGGAACUGGGUGACUAGAGUGUGUCAGAGGGAGGUAGAAUUCCACAUGUAGCGGUGGAAUGCGUAGAGAUGUGGAGGAAUACCGAUGGCGAAGGCAGCCUCCUGGGAUAACACUGACGUUGAGGCUCGAAAGCGUGGGGAGCAAACAGGAUUAGAUACCCUGGUAGUCCACGCCCUAAACGAUGACAAUUAGCUGUUGGGCUUUGAAAGGCUUAGUAGCGAAGCUAACGCGAGAAAUUGUCCGCCUGGGGAGUACGGUCGCAAGAUUA
rnacentral:rRNA from 1 species